UAGGAGUCUGCAUGUAACUGCUACCUUCCAGAAUCUCAGCUGGGACUAUGCAGAACCCUGUUAGUUCCCUCCCUUCUGCAAUCAGCACAAGCAGCAUUUAAAGCCUCUUUCUACAAGUAAGUGAGUCCACAUUUUAAUUCCACCUCCACUUGCAACAUGCAGAUUUUCCCCUUUCACGUGCUUUCUGUUCCCUCACAGAGCACCUUGCUGUGUUUCCAUUCUCGCAUCAUCUCUUGCUGGUUUCUCAUUUACAUCAUAAUACCAGAGUUGCUGUUUACACUGAGCUGCACAAAUGCUGCACAGUGUUUUAGGUCUGACUGUGGUGUGAUCAUUAACAUCACACCACUGGCCCCAGGGAGUUUCAUGACUGGAUUCAGAUCCAUCUGCCCUGUGUUCCCAACAGGAGUUCCCCCUACAGGCCUGAAUAUUUUGGCAAGAGACAAUUCACUACAUGUCAGGCAGGAGGCAAGAGACACCUUAAUCUGCACUGAUGGUAAAUGUCUCUCCAUCUUUGAGGACAGAAAGUCACUCCUGAUGCUUGGCACAGAGGAGGUUCAAAGUUGCAGCCUAAAAAUGGCUGCAUUCUCUGAAGAAGAGAAAAGAAAGGAAGAAAGGAAGAAAGGAAGAAAGGAAGAAAGGAAGAAAGGAAGAAAGGAAGAAAGAAAGAAAGAAAGAAAGAAAGAAAGAAAGAAAGAAAGAAAGAAAGAAAGAAGGAAAGAAAGAGAGAAAGAAAGAAGGAAAGAAGGAAAGAAAGAAGGAAAGAAGGAAAGAAGGAAGGAAAGAAGGAAAGGAAAGAAGGAAAGAAAGAAGGAAAGAAGGAAAGAAAGAAGGAAAGAAAGAAGGAAAGAAGGAAAGAAGGAAAGAAGGAAAGAAAGAAGGAAAGAAAGAAGGAAAGAAAAAAGAAAAUUACUAGCAGAAUAUUAAGUAUUACAGAGCUUGUCCUAAACAACAGCAAUCUCUGUUGGCUUCUCAGAAGUUGCAGAACGUACACAUGCAAACAGAAGUGCCCUCGGGAGACAUGCACAACACAAACUGGGCCCCAAGGCUGGCUGUUGGCUCUGUCCUUUCAUCUCUAACGCACAGCUCAGGCUGACCUUUAAUGGGGAAAUGGAAAAAAGGGAGGUGGCUGCUACUGAGUUGCACAGAGGAGAAAAAAAUAGAGUGUGAGUUAUUAAGGGGAAGAAAGGAAAACAUUUAGAAAAUCCUGGGAGGCAGAAUAUUUUAAGAAUGCUUCUGGAUGGAGCACAGAUUCUGCAGAAGUGGCUGCUGCGCUGUGGGUUUGUUACUGAGUAUCCUUAGGCUUUCUCGGGGUGGAUACCCAAAGUCUGAGACUUCAAAAUCUGCAUGAACUUUUGAAAAUCUUGGUUUCUUACAUGUUCCUGUACUGCUCCAACAGCUGUGAACCCUUGAACUUCCUCAGCACUAAGUGUUGUUACAGGAAUUAGGACAGGUGUCUUUCUGGGGCAAAUAUGGAAUACUAAGACCCCACAGUUUGGCAGGGAAUCAUAGAAUCCUAAAUCAUAGACUGGUUUGGGAUGGAAGGGACCUCAAAGCUGGCUGUCAGCUCAGCCUGUCCAGGGCCCACCCAGCCCAGCCUUGGGCACCUCCAGGGCUGAGUACCCACAGCAGUGCCAGGACCUCACCACCCUCUGAGUGAAGAAUUUCUAAUACCUAACCUAAAUUUCCCCUCUUCUAGUUUAAAAACAUUCCCUGUUGUCCUCGUACCAUCUGUCCAUGUGAAAAGCUUCUCCUGUUUAUAAGCUCCCAUUAAGUACUGGAAGGUCUCCCUGGAUCUUUCUCUUCUCAAGGCUGAACAAGCCCAGCUCCCUCAAUUUCUCUUUAUAGGAGAGGUGCUCCACCCCUAUCAGCAUCUUCACAGCCCUCCUCUGAACCUGCCCCAACAGCUCCAAUGGGAAAUUCCACGUACUCAAACCAACAUAAAACAGGCUGUGGUGCAGCCAGCAACAAGUGUGAUAGCACACUGUCCAGCAUAGGUUGGACAAUCAUCAUCACCAAUUUACUCUCUUUCUAAAAAGAAAAGAUGAGUUUUCAAAGAGUGGCAGUCUCUGUCUAUUUUUCAACACCCCCCAUACUUUGGAUAGGUGACCUGUAGCUAGUUCAGCUACUCCUGUAUAUACUCAUGUCUAUGGGAGGAACAGAGAAGGCCCCGCUGACCUGCUGCCACACAUACCAUCCACUGUGCAUACCUACAUGGGGGUCCAGCUUCUGUGCCUGAACCAAAGCUGCCUUCACUUGUGGCCGUGGGGGAGAGCCCAGAGUCUCUGUCUGUGGCAGCACAACUUCAUGCCUGUUGGAAGAAUUGUGUGGAAGAAAGUGGAGAAAAAAUCACUGUGAAUUAAUCAAGCCAUCAUCAAUGGCACCAGGUGCACUGGCUGUACAAGGAAAACAAAUAAAUCAACC
rnacentral:lncRNA from 1 species